GGACAUCCGACAGGCUCGCGACUUCUCUAACGUAUGUAUCUGUAUGGCCUUCGCUGAUGAUGUGCUUUAUGGCCACGUGUUGACCAUUGGAAAGUAUGCCCCUGUACACCUUGCCUGUCACGACAUAGAUAAUACUUUCCAUAUGCCCCUAAGCAGCAGUUGGGGCAUGCAGAAGAUGAUACCAGGCCUUUGUGCCUUCUUAUCAAUGCUUCCCUUUCUGCAAAUUAAGUGAAACCAUUGUCUUGCUAGAUAGGUCGAUGCCAAAAGAUCUUGAAGUGCUUAUUGCCAAAAGACCAGGCUUUUCUGCCGUCUUCUUGCCGGUGAUGAUGGAAUGCAAUGUGUUCUACCUAUUCAAUCCUGCUAGCAUGUAAUGAAUCUGAAUAAGAAAAAGAGAGCAAGAUCUUUGAUUC